rnacentral:sRNA from 1 species
GGAGGCCGCGCAGAGGCCGCCGCCUGGGCCGAGGCAGCCGCUGCUGGGAGCGCCGAGCCGCGGCGCCUAGGCCGUGCCAGUCCCGGAUCCGCUGCCCCCGGCCGUGCCCAGCUCCCGCCCGGCAGCCCGGCGCUCCGUCCCGGGCCGGCGGCCCCCGCCAGCCGCCGCCGCCGCCGGCCCCGCCUCCGGGCACCAUGCUGCCCUCGCAGGAGGCCUCCAAGCUCUACCACGAGCACUACAUGCGGAACUCGCGGGCCAUCGGCGUGCUGUGGGCCAUCUUCACCAUCUGCUUCGCCAUCAUC